GGGAGGGAGGCGAGGAAGAAGGUGUUAUGUAAGACCUUAGCUCAUAGCCUUUGGUUCCGGAGUCCCUGAAUCUGUUAACCAUCUCGUGGUGCUAAUGAGGAUGCCCAGAUGAAACGGAGGACCCAGACUGCCCAUCUCCUUGUUUCAGUACCCAUGGAAUCCAGAAGAGGAUGUCAGAUCCCCUGGAGCUGAAGUUAUAAGCAGUUAUGAAUCACCUGACAUAAGAACCUAAACUUGGGUCUUCUGCAAGAGCAACACACACUCUCAAACCCUGAGCCAUCUCUCCAGCCCUCGCAAAGACAUUUUUAUACUAUGUUAAGAAUGGAAAUAGUUUGGCUUGGGGUUAUUUCAAGGGCUCAGCCACUUCAGUGAGGACCCAGCUCAGCCAUGGCGGUGAGGACCCGGCUCUUCCUAUCUGUCCAAGCUCCGUCUUUGGUGUGUUGGCGAUAUGUCCUGCAGGGCUGAGAAGCGCAGCCUCACAUUCCAGCAUUUGUCAUAGGAUGAAGAGGAUAGAAUCAAAAGAACCUAGUUCUCUUUCAACAAAGAGAACCAACUUUUCUGAAGGCCUCUGGCAGACUUCUCCUUAACCCCACUGCCCACGCACCUGCUCGCAAACCCCUCUUUAGACUGAGAAGUAUGAGAAAGGAAAGGGCUGCCACCUUUGCCUUAAAUGAUCAUAAAUGUCCCCUGGUGAUGAGCACAUCACUACCUACAAGCAGUUGGGUGGGGUUCUAUUAGUCAGGAAGUGAAAAGACUGUUGGAUGGGCCCCUGGCCCCUGGCUGGUCUCUGUGCGCCUUCCCACCACCCUUUCCAGAUGAAGAAGCUGGGUUCCAUUAAGGUUAAGGACCACACAUCCAAAACUGUUAAAGUCAAGACAACCCCUUAUGAUCUAGAAAUGUCUGUGUCUUAAUGUUCUAGAAAGUAUUCCAUAAUUCAGUGCUCUUCAAAGUGAGCUUUAGUUACACAAGACGUGGGGCAAAAUGGAAAUCAAUGGGAGCCAGAGCCAGGGAAAUUCCUUUUUCUGUUUUUAUGUCUCAGACUUACUGAGUGAAAUACUUGCCAUGUUCAAAAUUGUGAAGUUAGUUUAUUUGUUUAUUCCAACAGUUAUCGCCUUCCCUACAAUAUACUGAGGAGAAUGUUAGAUGCUAGGAAAAUAGCUCAUGUGUAUAAAUCUUUCACAUAGGUGUCUCUUCAAGUAUUAAGUAAAAAUAUGGUGGUAGAAUUAUAAAAAUCACUGGUGACAAAGAUAACAUAUUUUUCAAAGCCCGAGUUAUUUUUUUCCUUCUUGGUCACAGCCUCCUUUGAAAUUGCAUCAUACCAUGUGACUAGUAUUUGGCCAAUCUGUGGGCAGAAGUAAUAUAUGCUAUUUCCCGGUCUGCCUACGAAACCCUGUAAACCAGUGGUUUUCAUCCUUCCUAAUGCUGCAACCCUUUAAUACAGUUCCUCAUGUUGUGGUGACCCCCAACCAUAAAAUUACGUUCAUUACUAAUUCUUAACUGUAAUUAUGAUUCUGCUAUGAAUCGUAAUGUAAAUAUCUGUGUUUUCUGAUGGUCUUAGGUGAUCCCUAUGAAAGGGUCAUUUGAUCACCACGGGGUCACAACCCACAGGUUGAGAAACACAACUGUAAGCUCUUCCCAGAGAGCAGUACCCUCCCCACUAGUCUUUUUUUCCUGCUGUAUAGGUCAUCAAUCAUCCUGCCUUUUUUUUCCUUAAUCUUUUUAUGCAUUAGAAAAUAAAUAUUGAGCCGGGCGGUGGUGGCGCACGCCUUUAAUCCCAGCACUCGGGAGGCAGAGCCAGGUGGA